rnacentral:tRNA from 1 species
AAAUUUAGGUUAACCAUAAACCAAGAGCCUUCAAAACUCUAAAUAUGAGUCCAACCCUCAU